CGAGGAAUAGUUCCUCAGGCACAAGGAAAGCACUAUGGAGGCAAUCGACCACGAUGCCGAGCAUGAGAGCGGAGACGAAGGUGGAGCUGACGCUAGUGAUGAACACGACGAAGACGAGUAUUUUGCUGGAGAGAAAGAAAGUGUUUUGCAAGUAAGUUCAUGUUUUGCAAAAGGUGCAAUGGUGCUUAUCAUUGUUCGGUCUGCAACCUCCUCAUAAGGUAGA